UACGAAGGGGGCUAGCGUUGUUCGGAAUCACUGGGCGUAAAGCGCACGUAGGCGGAUCUUUAAGUCAGGGGUGAAAUCCCGAGGCUCAACCUCGGAACUGCCUUUGAUACUGGGGAUCUCGAGUCCGGGAGAGGUGAGUGGAACUGCGAGUGUAGAGGUGAAAUUCGUAGAUAUUCGGAAGAACACCAGUGGCGAAGGCGACUUACUGGACACAUAUUGACGCUGAGGUGCGAAAGCGUGGGGAGCAAACAGG
rnacentral:rRNA from 1 species